rnacentral:misc_RNA from 1 species
CACAGCUCUUGCCAUAUAUGGGCAUAAAACGAAAGCGGCUCGCUGAUUGGUCGGUUGGCCGGCUGCCGGCUAGAUUCUCCAAAUGCCGCUUCAAACUGUACGAUACGGGGAGCAUAAUGCCUUCUGGAAGCGUACACUAGCUAAGGGCUUUCCUGACUAACCGUCAGAGCUGUUUGUAGUAGUAAACGUAUCAAUACGUACGAACGUAUAUGUGAAGAUUAUCACGUUCUUUGUGUGCGCGUGCUAGCGACCAGUACCGGCAGUAGAGUAGGACAACUAAUGUCUGCCUAAAAGUUAAUAUGUUUUUGAAGAAUUUUAAGAAGCUAAAAAUAGACUCAAGGGCGCGGAUAAGGGUGCACUGGACUACUACCACGUCACGUAAGCCCUAUGCUUCGGCCCUAUUUCCUGUAUAUGUGUCGGUCCGACGGAAGGCGGCAUGGUGUGUGUGAGUGCAGUGUCUGCUACAAAAUCGAUACGCGUGUUCGUGCAGUCUACAAUGGUACAUCGUACUUGUGCACGGAAACCACGUGGUGAUGGAAACGUCAAAGUACGACUGAUGAUACUGCUUGUUAUUUUGUCGUAAAGCAUUUUGUAGUUAACAUGUUUAUCAGUCGUAAUCAUUACUAUUAAUAAAGCAUGUUGUUAUCAGUUAAAAAGCAAAAUACAAAGAAAUUAAUUAAUAGUGACGUUGAUGAAAUAUAAUAAUACAAUUAUAUGUCUUUUAAGUCGUAAUAGCGUUUGAGUUAAUAUAAUAUCGUAAAUCUUAAAAUCUAUUUAAAAAUAUUUUUUUCAAAGUUGGCUCAUUCGUAUUAACAGAACAUUCGCAUACAUACUUUGAACUUAAUGUCUUAUAAGAAAUACAUGUGAGAUACGUACCAUUGAUUAUUAAUAUAUUGUUUAAGUUUGGAUAUUGCGAAAG